GUGGAGUACGACAAGCUGGCGAACGAGAAGACAGAGAUGCAGCGCCAUUAUGUGAUGUACUAUGAGAUGUCCUACGGCUUGAAUAUCGAAAUGCACAAGCAGGGAGGCCUGCUGUUGGGUGAAGGGUAGCCAGAGACGGAUCAGCAUUUAGUGAACGAAGUGGGAAGCCGGCUGUGGUUUCCUGAGGAAUUGGUUCCCCAGGCGUGCACACAUGGAGGCUACCACAUUUUGAAUUCUUGGCCCACAGAAAUAAUAAACAGUCUUUGCUUUA
rnacentral:lncRNA from 1 species